UGAGGAAUAUUGCGCAAUGGAGGCAACUCUGACGCAGCCAUGCCGCGUGCAGGAAGACGGCCCUACGGGUUGUAAACUGCUUUUAUUCGGGAAGAAACCCCUCGACGUGUCGAGGGUUGACGGUACCGAAGGAAUAAGCACCGGCUAACUUCGUGCCAGCAGCCGCGGUAAUACGAAGGGUGCAAGCGUUAUCCGGAUUCAUUGGGUUUAAAGGGUGCGUAGGCGGGGUGAUAAGUCAGUGGUGAAAUCC
rnacentral:rRNA from 1 species